rnacentral:rRNA from 1 species
UACGUAGGGUGCAAGCGUUAAUCGGAAUUACUGGGCGUAAAGCGUGCGCAGGCGGUUGUGCAAGACAGAUGUGAAAUCCCCGGGCUUAACCUGGGAACUGCAUUUGUGACUGCACGGCUAGAGUGUGUCAGAGGGGGGUAGAGUUCCACGUGUAGCAGUGAAAUGCGUAGAUAUGUGGAGGAAUACCGAUGGCGAAGGCAGCCCCCUGGGAUAACACUGACGCUCAUGCACGAAAGCGUGGGGAGCAAACAGG